AAACACCUUUAACAACGACGUACAUUUUUGGUCGCGCCAUUUUCUCUGUCGAUACAAAUCCCUAGUAGCAAAAAUACGUAUCCUCAUCCCCACAGUAAUACGUCUCAGAGAGAUACGUAUAAAUAUCGUAUUGAAUACGUAUUUAUACUAUUUUUAUACUGUAUCAAUAUUUAAUAUCCAAUACCUCUAUUUAAUACGUAUUUAUACUAUUUUUAUACUGUAUCAAUAUUCGAUAUUCGAUCAUCGCUAUUCAAUACGUAUUUAUCUUACACUUGAACCGUAUCAGAAUAUUCAAUUAAUAUCGGAUCCAAAUAUAGGUAUUUAUACCAGAUAUUUAAAAUUGCGCGCCACGUGGCUGCGAUGCCGACGGAAACGGUUACUGGUUCCGGCUCUCACCGAACAUCGGGACCCCCGGCGCCGGCAGUGUUUUGUUUUGUUCGCGCGUAAUUUUGCAUGCAUUUGCAUUUGCACUGGUGUAAUUGAAGUUCUUGUAAGGUGCACGAUGGAGUCGAAUGAAGAAAUUGCUUCAGCUUCAAUUAAUACCGAGAAGGAUUGGACCAUAGUUUCGUAUAAAAACAUUAAAGGAGUAACCGUCUUUGACGUAAUUCCAAAUUUGUGGUUUAUAGAUGACAAGCACGAAAAAUGCUAUUAUCCGCCCUCAAUGCCUAAAUAUAGAGCCAAAAAUAAAGCGAAGCCGGAGCCUCACUGGGAACAGCUACGAGUGAAGGAGACAAAAUAUCAAUACUGUGUCUAUGAUCACGCCUGGGAGAAUUCUUGCCGCCUAAACUCCAAUCGCAACACCAAAAGUGCAUCGGACAAUGAGAAAAAGGGCAUCGGAUGCAGAAAGCGAAAACUUCGAGUUUUGUUUUCGCCAACACCUUCAGAGAAUAAGGUCAAGAGUUCUGCUGCUCCAGACCAAAUGGUCUUCCCUGCCCCUCCAAAGAUAACGAAUAACAAAAAUCAAAAAUCGACUUUUGAAAGUAAACUAGUCUUCCCUGCCCCUCCGAUUUCAACGAACAACAAAAAUAUUAAAUCAAAAAUUGAAAGUGAAGCAGAUGAAUCAGAUUCUAGACACUCUCCGAGUCUUCUGGGUCUGUCUUAUUUUGAUGAAAGAAAUCGCAGCAAGCGCAAUUCAGAUGUCAAGCGCAAUUCAGAUGUCAAUUUUGAUGAGGACAAUAACGUUGUCAACAGUGAUAUCAACAAUGAUAUCAACAGUGAUAUCAACAAUGAUAUCAACAGUGAUAUCAACAAUGAUAUCAACAGUGAUAUCAACAGUGAUUCCACCGGUCACACUUUGGCUUCCAUUGGCCAAGCCAUUUGCAGUUUGUCAAGCAAACUUUCUAAAGUUUCCAAAAAAAUAGAAACGUUGAGUGCAUUAGUCGAAAGUUUAGUCGAAAUUGAAAAACAAAGAGGGUCGGUUCCACCAAAAAAAUCUGAUCAAGAGAUCUUAGCGGACUUUCCCUUUACUGAUCCUGAGAAAUUGGUGGCAUACGAUGACAAAUUACGAGCGGAUGAGCAACUUUAUAACGCAGCGAAAAAUGCCCUUAAAGGGAAGGUUGAAAAAACCGGAGUCGUUGCCACUGCGAGAGGGUUUAUUAGAAAAAUAUUAGACCCUUCACUCUUUGUGCAUUUCAACUGGAAAGGACAAGGAGACCCAAAUAAAAGUGCUUUCACGGAUAUGAAAUUCUAUGAAAUGCAAAAAAGUAUCGUUACUGAAUUGUGGGGCGAUAGUCAUGCCGUUUUAUCAAAACUUGACAAGACUUGCAGCACAUUUUUGGUGCAAGAGGCGGGCAAGUUAAAGAGGCGCAAUCAGGAAAUUCCAGAUUCUGCUGAGAUGGAUGAUUCCAGUUCCGAAGAGGAAAAUUCGGAAAAUGAAUCAGCAACUGAAGAUGAUGCCUCUCUCUCCCACUGAUAGUAUUUCGUGAGAAUUUUCCUUUUUUUAGUUACCAUGUUACUUAUGCAUAUCUCCAAAAAUUUAUUUUCCUUGGUCAUUAUUCUUUGUCUGUAUUGUUCUUAUUUAAGUAUGUCUUGAUACUUAAUUGUCAGUAGCCAAAACUCUGAAUAUUAUUUUCACUGGCUGUGUGCAACAUUUUUUACACAACUACCAAGAUUUCGACCUUAGUCAAAUUUCGGUUAAUUUGUUCAACUCAAAGUGUUAAAAACACUUUAUAAAUAACUUAAGUUCAUUGUGUUUAUGUUCGAAAGUGUCAUAAAGUCUCUUGCAACUGUCAUGGAGUUCAUUAAAACAAUAAGCCUAAUGAUGCAAUGAACAUUAGAGGGGCUUGGAGGACAAGGCGCAUAAGUGCAUUGUUUGAAAAAAUUGAGAUAUUAAUGUUUCAUCCUAAAGUAGUUCUAAAAUAUAUUCUGUGACAAAUUCACCACAAAAAUUCAAUUCAAAGCAUCAAAAAGUGAGUUCCACUGUUUUUUUCUGAAAGUUUUUUUCUGGUGUGGGCUGUGUGUAAUUUUAAAACUUUAAAUGCAUAUUUCUUGAAAGAGCAAAACCCGCACUUUUGCGCCUUGUCCUCCAAGCUCCUCAUUUAACAAAUUAGCUUUUUGCUGCAAUAAAUAUUUAGCCUGUGAUUUUUUGUAAGGUAUUUAUCUGACUUUAGUCAUUUGUCAGCAAACUAUUUCGUUUGAAAUAUUUGUACUUGUGCUUCUAGUUUUUUCUCUCAUACUCAUUACUAUUUUCAACUAUUCAUUCAAUACGGUGGCCAAAUAUUUCUUGAAAUUAUUUGUUUUUGUGCCUUUAGUUUUUUCUCUCAUACUCAUUAAUAUUUUCCAAGUGCUCUAAAUAUUGUUUGUGUAAGUUGUCAAAUGAAAGUGUUCUAUUUUAUCCAUUCUUGAAAAGUUUUCUCUAAGAUGAGCUUUUCACAUUCAUUUUUGGAAAUGUAAUGUAGUCUCUAAUUUCUUUUCUGAAUGACAAGUGGACGUCUUCAACAAUGUGUUCCACUGAAUGUUGCGUUGUUGAUUUUGCACAAGAGAUCUCUUAGUCUUUGAUCUCAUUAUUGUUUAAUUCACAUUGUUUUGUUUCCUUAAAGUGUCCAAAUAAUACCUUGAAGGUUUACUCUUAACGGGUUUAAAUAAGACUUGUUUUUUCUAUGACUUUUUUGUUUCUGCAAAGUGUCUAAAUAUUUCCGUGUAAUACCUUGAAGGUUUACUCGACAGGUUUAAGUAAGACUCAUUUUUUCUAUGACUUUUUUUGUUUCCUCAAAGUGUCCAAAAUCCAUGUAAUACCUUGAAGGUUUACUCAAUGGGUUUAAAUAAGACUUGUUUUUUCUAUGACUUUAUUAAUAUAAAAAGUGGACGUCUUCAACAAUGUGUUCCACUGAAUGUUGCGUUGUUGAUUUUGCACAAGAGAUCUCUUAGUCUUAUAUCUCAUUAUUGUUUAAUUCACAUUGUUUUGUUUCCUUAAAGUGUCCAAAUAAUACCUUGAAGGUUUACUCUUAACGGGUUUAAAUAAGACUUGUUUUUUCUAUGACUUUUUUGUUUCUGCAAAGUGUCUAAAUAUUUCCGUGUAAUACCUUGAAGGUUUACUCGACAGGUUUAGGUAAGACUCAUUUUUUCUAUGACUUUUUUGUUUCCUCAAAGUGUCCAAAAUCCAUGUAAUACCUUGAAGGUUUACUCAAUGGGUUUAAAUAAGACUUGUUUUUUCUAUGACUUUAUUAAUAUAAAAAGUUUUGUUCCUUCAUAUUUCUUUGUUCUUAUAAAUUUGUAUUUUUCUCCUGUAAUUGUUUGAAACCGUUUCAAAGUUUUCUUCAGCAUUUCUAAUGUAAAGCUUUUAAGCAUAUAUAUACAUUUUUUAAAUUCAUCCAAACCUUAAAGGAACCUAAAAAAACAUAGUAUGUGGGCUUUCAAAUAAAUUUGAAUGUAUAGUUAUUUUUUUCUUGGAAAUGGAAGAAGAAAAUUUUGAAGUGUCUCCAUGGAAUUUUCUUGUUAUUGGACAUGAAUUUUCGUCCUUCACACAAAUCGACUUGACUGGAUUGCAACAUUUCUGUUACCAGGUCAACACUUCACUCUCAAUUUAUGAAAAGUUUGGUAUUUUAGCCUGAAAAUAACAGUUUUCGUCAAGAAAGAUAAAUUCAUUUUUCUAGCAAAAAUGUGUAAAAAUGAUACGUUGACAGAGUUACUGAAAUGUCUCAGUCCAGAUGUGUUGCUUUAUGUGGGGGAUGGUGACUUACGCCUAAUAAAAAAUAUAAGACAGGGUGUCUACAGGUCUGGAAAACCGGGAAAAUUCAGAGAAUUUUAUCAAAAAGACCGGAAAAGUUUGUUUCUUCCCAAAUCUGUAGACACUCCGUAUGAAUACACCAUUAAUACUGAAUAAAAAUAUUUUUGAGACUUGCACAAGAAAGUUAUCGAAAAAAUUUUUGGUACUCACUCGCGCGAUAAAUUUAUAUUGCGGACGCGUUUCGCCGGCUCUCUCUCCGGCAUCCACAGCGCAACUCCACGCGGGGUCGCGCUGAGGAUGCCGAAGAGAGAGCUGGCGAAACGCAUUCGCAAUAUAAAUUAAUCGCGCAAGUGAGUGCCAGAAAUUUUUUCGACCAUUAAUAAGUAAUGUGUAAAUAUAGUAUUAAUACUGUAUAAAUAUCAUAUCCAAAUACGGUAUAAAUAUGAUACCUAUAUACAGUAUUUUAAACCCUGGAAAUACUGGAAAAAAUACCAUAUUUUAUCAUGUAUUAAAUACGAGAUAAAAUAUCUAUUUUCAAAGUAUAAAAUACGUAUUUUGAUACAGAUAAAUACCGUAUCUUGAAAUAGUAUUUUAUUCGUAUUUUUGCUACUAGGGAUGUCGUGGAUCGC
rnacentral:lncRNA from 1 species